CAAAAGCUAGCUCAUGAGGAGAGGUUUGUCAAGUCCACAUAAGAAGACCGAAUUCCCAUCCCUCUACCGCUGUGGGACAUCUUAAUGGGAAUUCGGUCUUCUUAUGUGGACUUGACAAACCUCUCCUCAUGAGUUAGCUUUUG